CUCAGUAAGUGUGAACUCAAACCCUCACGGCCUUUGAAAUCAGACAUUGGGACAACCCUAAGACCUUACAUAUUUCGCGAGAACGCGCACCAAAGUCCAUGAGUCUGUGAGUCCGGACUUUGGGAUCGGGCCGAUUUCACACUGGGGUAAG